AUUGAACGCUGGCGGAAUGCUUUACACAUGCAAGUCGAACGGCAGCACGGGGGCAACCCUGGUGGCGAGUGGCGAACGGGGGAGUAAUACAUCGGAACGUGCCCAGUCGUGGGGGAUAACGUGGCGAAAGUUACCCUAAUACCGCAUACGAUCUACGGAUGAAAGCGGGGGACCGUAAGGCCUCGAGCGAGUGGAGCGGCCGAUGUCAGAUUAGGUAGGUGGUGAGGUAAAGGCUCACCAAACCGACGAUCUGUAGCUGGGAUGAGAGGACGACCAGCCACACUGGGACUGAGACACGGCCCAGACUCCUACGGGAGGCAGCAAUGGGGAAUGUUGGACAAAGGGCGCAAGCCUGAUCCAGCCAUUCCGCGUGCAGGACGAAGGCCUUCGGGUUGUAAACUGCUUUUGUACGGAACGAAAAGGCUCUGGUUAAUAGUUGGAGCUCAUGACGUUACCGUAAGAAUAAGCGCCGACUAACUACGUGCCAGCCGCCGCCGUAA
rnacentral:rRNA from 1 species